UAUACUUUAGGAGGGGCUUGCGCCAUAUUAGUUAGUUGGUAGGGUAAUGGCCUACCAAGACGAUGAUGUGUAGCUGGACUGAGAGGUUGAACAGCCACAUUGGGACUGAGACACGGCCCAAACUCCUACGGGAGGCAGCAGUAGGGAAUUUUCGGCAAUGGAGGAAACUCUGACCGAGCGACGCCGCGUGAACGACGAAGUACUUUGGUAUGUAAAGUUCUUUUAUCAAGGAAGAAAAGCAAGUGGUGAACCAUUUGUUUGCCGGUACUUGAUGAAUAAGCCCCGGCUAAUUAUGUGCCAGCAGCCGCGGUAAGACAUAAGGGGCAAGUGUUAUCCGGAAUUAUUGGGCGUAAAGGGUGCGUAGGCGGUCUAGUAAGUCAGUGGUGUAAUGGCAACGCUCAACGUUGUCCGGCUAUUGAAACUGCUAAACUUGAGUUAGAUAGAGGCGAGUGGAAUUCCAUGUGUAGCGGUAAAAUGCGUAAAUAUAUGGAGGAACACCAGAGGCGUAGGCGGCUCGCUGGGUCUUAACUGACGCUGAGGCACGAAAGCGUGGGGAGCAAACAGGAUUAGAUACCCUGGUAGUCCACGCCGUAAACGAUGAGUACUAAGUGUCGGGUUAAACCGGUACUGAAGUUAACACAUUAAGUACUCCGCCUGAGUAGUACGUACGCAAGUAUGAAACUUAAAGGAAUUGACGGGACUCCGCACAAGCGGUGGAUCAUGUUGUUUAAUUCGAAGAUACCCGAAAAACCUUACCAGGUCUUGACAUGUUUUUGCGAAACGGUAGUAAUAUCGUGGAGGUUAUCAGAAACACAGGUGGUGCAUGGUUGUCGUCAGCUCGUGUCGUGAGAUGUUAGGUUAAGUCCUAAAACGAGCGAAACCCUUAUCGUUAGUUGCCAGCACGUUAUGGUGGGGACUUUAACGAGACUGCCAGUGAUAAACUGGAGGAAGGUGAGGAUCACGUCAAAUCAGCAUGCCCCUUAUGACCUGGGCUACAAACGUGAUACAAUGGCUGUUACAAAGGGUAGCUGAAACGUAAGUUCUUGGCCAAUCCCCAAAAACAGUCUCAGUCCGGAUUGAAGUCUGCAACUCGACUUCAUGAAGUUGGAAUCGCUAGUAAUCGCGAAUCAGCAUGUCGCGGUGAAUACGUU
rnacentral:rRNA from 1 species